rnacentral:misc_RNA from 1 species
CUUCCAAAAAAGGAGGAGGUUCUCAAUUCGACUGUAUUUUUUUUUUUUUUUUUUUUUUUUUUUUAUGUAUGUUACAUCAGAACUUUUGACCGGGUAGACCGAUUUCGACAAAUUUUGUUUUAAUCGAAAGGUGGUGUGUGCCAAUUGGUCCCAUUUAAAUUUAUUUGAGAUUUAACAACUACUUUUCGAGCUAUAUCUAAUAAUGCGUUUUUACUCGACGCUUUUUUCGUCGACCUACGUUGUAUUAUACCACAUAACUUUCUACUGGAUGUACCGAUUUUGAUAAUUCUUUCUUUGUUGGAAAAA